rnacentral:rRNA from 1 species
UACGUAGGCAGCAAGCGUUGUUCGGAAUUACUGGGCGUAAAGAGUGUGUAGGCGGUGCUCCCAGUCUGUUGUGAAGUCUCCCGGCUUAACUGGGAGGGUGCAGCGGAAACUAGAGUGCUAGAGGGUGGGAGAGGUAAGCGGAAUUCCUGGUGUAGCGGUGAAAUGCGUAGAUAUCAGGAGGAACACCUGUGGUGUAGACAGCUUACUGGACCACUUCUGACGCUGAGACACGAAAGCGUGGGUAGCAAACAGG